GACGAACGCUGGCGGCGUGCUUAACACAUGCAAGUCGAACGGAAAGGCCCUGCUUUUGUGGGGUGCUCGAGUGGCGAACGGGUGAGUAACACGUGAGUAACCUGCCCUUGACUUUGGGAUAACUUCAGGAAACUGGGGCUAAUACCGGAUAGGAGCUCCUGCUGCAUGGUGGGGGUUGGAAAGUUUCGGCGGUUGGGGAUGGACUCGCGGCUUAUCAGCUUGUUGGUGGGGUAGUGGCUUACCAAGGCUUUGACGGGUAGCCGGCCUGAGAGGGUGACCGGCCACAUUGGGACUGAGAUACGGCCCAGACUCCUACGGGAGGCAGCGGUGGGGAGUAUUGCACAAUGGGCGGAAGCCUGAUGCAGCAACGCCGCGUGCGGGAUGACGGCCUUCGGGGUGUAAACCGCUUUCGCCUGUGACGAAGCGUGAGUGACGGUAAUGGGUAAAGAAGCACCGGCUAACUACGUG
rnacentral:rRNA from 1 species